rnacentral:rRNA from 1 species
GGUUAAGUGACUAAGCGUACACGGUGGAUGCCUUGGCAGUCAGAGGCGAUGAAGGACGUAUUAACUUGCGAUAAGCCCAGAUUAGACAGUAAAAGUCAUUUGAGUCUGGGAUUUCCGAAUGGGGAAACCCACCUGCAUAAGCAGGUAUCAUUAUCUGAAUACAUAGGGUAAUGAGGCGAACCGGGGGAACUGAAACAUCUAAGUACCCCGAGGAAAAGAAAUCAACCGAGAUUCCGAAAGUAGCGGCGAGCGAAAUUGGACUAGCCCUUAAGCCUUUAAUGCGUCAGGUGAAAGUUCUGGAAAGUUCUGCGAUACAGGGUGAUAGCCCCGUAACCGACAGCGCAUUUUAGGUGAAAUCGAGUAGGGCGGGACACGUGAUAUCCUGUCUGAAUAUGGGGGGACCAUCCUCCAAGGCUAAAUACUACUGACUGACCGAUAGUGAACCAGUACCGUGAGGGAAAGGCGAAAAGAACCCCUGUGAGGGGAGUGAAAUAGAACCUGAAACCGUGUACGUACAAGCAGUAGGAGCACCUUCGUGGUGUGACUGCGUACCUUUUGUAUAAUGGGUCAGCGACUUAUAUUCAGUAGCAAGGUUAACCAUCUAGGGGAGCCGUAGAGAAAUCGAGUCUUAACUGGGCGUCGAGUUGCUGGAUAUAGACCCGAAACCAGGUGAUCUAGCCAUGGGCAGGUUGAAGGUUGAGUAACAUCAACUGGAGGACCGAACCGACUAAUGUUGAAAAAUUAGCGGAUGACUUGUGGCUAGGGGUGAAAGGCCAAUCAAACCUGGAGAUAGCUGGUUCUCCCCGAAAUCUAUUUAGGUAGAGCCUCGGACGAAUACUACUGGGGGUAGAGCACUGUUAAGGCUAGGGGGUCAUCCCGACUUACCAACCCUUUGCAAACUCCGAAUACCAGUAAGUACUAUCCGGGAGACACACGGCGGGUGCUAACGUCCGUCGUGGAGAGGGAAACAACCCAGACCGCCAGCUAAGGUCCCAAAUUACAGCUAAGUGGGAAACGAUGUGGGAAGGCUUAGACAGCUAGGAUGUUGGCUUAGAAGCAGCCAUCAUUUAAAGAAAGCGUAAUAGCUCACUAGUCGAGUCGGCCUGCGCGGAAGAUGUAACGGGGCUAAGCUGUAAACCGAAGCUGCGGCAAUGCAUUUUAUGUAUUGGGUAGGGGAGCGUUCUGUAAGCCGUUGAAGGUG